UACAGAGGUCUCAAGCGUUGUUCGGAUUCAUUGGGCGUAAAGGGUGCGUAGGUGGCGCCAUAAGUCAGGUGUGAAAUCUCGGGGCUCAACCUCGAAACUGCACUUGAUACUGUGGUGCUUGAGUACUGGAGAGGAGAUUGGAAUUUACGGUGUAGCAGUGAAAUGCGUAGAUAUCGUAAGGAAGACCAGUGGCGAAGGCGAAUCUCUGGACAGUUACUGACACUGAGGCACGAAGGCCGGGGGAGCAAACGGG
rnacentral:rRNA from 1 species